UGCAGCCCUGUCUCAUUCAGUGCUUCCUCUACAAUGGACCGCACUGUCCAAAAUGGCUGCCACAGUGAACUAUAGUUCAUGGGUCUCAUGUAACUUUUCCAUGGAUGCUGGGGAUAAAUUUGUAGUACUGACAAUU